rnacentral:ncRNA from 54 species
UGAGGUAGUAGGUUGUGUGGUU